CCAGCUUACCUCCCGAAAAUGGGUCGGUGGUCCCUGGGUGGGGGUCUCUAUCCCGGACGAGCCCCCAGAUGAAAGACCCCCGCCAGGGUGGGGCAAUCUUUCUAUCUAAG